AGUGUGUUCGCCCUUACCCCCCGCCUUUCUUUGGCCAUGUGUAUGUAUGUAUGUAUGUAUGUAUGUAUGGAUGUGUCUCUGCUCUGCUUUGCUCCGAUUCUGCCUCCGCAGCUUCUUCUUCAUUGUCGCCUCGAUUGAUUGAUUGAUUGUCUUGCCGACCUUGCUCAGCGCUUGUGUCGUCAUUCACACUUGCCGCUGCGCAUUUCGUUUGUGGACUCUUCGAUCCUUGACGACGGACACUUUUCGGCGUGAGAGUUGUUAGAGUUUGAGGCGGUUUAAGACGUGGUGUGUUCCGGGUCUUGGUUACGCGUGGCGGAGAGGAGGUCAAUUUGGUGAUUGGAUACACGAUUGGUGAAGGAGUGGUGAUGCGUGUGUAUCUGAAGUUGAUGUGCGAGUGUUGUAGCGCUGGUAGUGUGUGAAGUCGGGGCUUGGCUUGGUGGUGGGACUUGACAUUUGUAUGCAGUGUUCUGUUGGAUGCGAGAAGCGGUGCGUCUUGUGGUGGAAGUGGUGUUGAAGUAGUAGUGCAACGCGUUCCUGUUCUAAUCUCAGAGCCCACUUUGCUUGCACUCAUCACCAUAAUGCACACAAGUGAGUACUUGAAACGGUCUCCACCUCAACUUUUAUGACUUUUUAACUUGUAUUCUAAGAUACAUUGCAAACAAUCGUCUUGGUUUCUUUAUGAUAAACCCAAGUUGCUAGAAAGUCCUAAGUACUUUUUAACAUAUUUUUAGAAGUUUUGUUGGUGGAUCAUUUAAUCUUACAUCAAAUUCUACAUAUUACUAAGCUUAUACUUAUAUUGUUGUUGUCUACAUAAAAUUUUAAUAUCUAUUGUGAGAUAGUUGAGCCAAAUUGUAUCCAACAAAAACUAGUCUUUUUAGUUUGGUCUGAGAUUCCUUUUCUUGUUAAUUGUUCUUCUAUUGGUUUUAUUUUUUAUUUUUUUAUUUUGCAUAUACAGUUUCUUUUCUACAAGUCUUCUUGUCAAUAAAAUCAAAUUAAUUCUUUAUAAAUAAAUUCAUUAAGUUUAAGAC